rnacentral:rRNA from 1 species
UACGUAGGGUGCAAGCGUUAAUCGGAAUCACUGGGCGUAAAGCGCACGUAGGCGGCUUGUUAAGUCAGGGGUGAAAUCCUGGAGCUCAACUCCAGAACUGCCUUUGAUACUGGCGAGCUUGAGUCCGGGAGAGGUGAGUGGAACUGCGAGUGUAGAGGUGAAAUUCGUAGAUAUUCGCAAGAACACCAGUGGCGAAGGCGGCUCACUGGCCCGAUACUGACGCUGAGGCACGAAAGCGUGGGAGCAAACAGG